rnacentral:rRNA from 1 species
GAUGAACGCUGGCGGCGUGCCUAAUACAUGCAAGUCGAGCGAACAGACGAGAAGCUUGCUCCUCUGAUGUUAGCGGCGGACGGGUGAGUAACACGUGGAUAACCUACCUAUAAGACUGGGAUAACUUCGGGAAACCGGAGCUAAUACCGGAUGAUAUUUUGAACCGCAUGGUUCAAUAGUGAAAGACGGUCUUGCUGUCACUUAUAGAUGGAUCCGCCCUGCAUUAGCUAGUUGGUAAGGUAACGGCUUACCAAGGCAACGAUGCAUAGCCGACCUGAGAGGGUGAUCGGCCACACUGGAACUGAGACACGGUCCAGACUCCUACGGGAGGCAGCAGUAGGGAAUCUUCCGCAAUGGGCGAAAGCCUGACGGAGCAACGCCGCGUGAGUGAUGAAGGUCUUCGGAUCGUAAAACUCUGUUAUUAGGGAAGAACAAAUGUGUAAGUAACUAUGCACAUCUUGACGGUACCUAAUCAGAAAGCCACGGCUAACUACGUG